rnacentral:rRNA from 1 species
GUCUAUUUGAGGAUAUUAAUAGUCUAGCCUGCUCACUGACAUAAAGGAAAGUGUUAAAUAGCCGCGGUAUCCUGACCGUGCAAAGGUAGCAUAAUCAUUAGUUCUUUAAUUGAGAACUUGUAUGAAUGGUUGGACAAGGAAGGAUCUGUCUCUGAGGUUAGGUUCGAAAUUAACUUCUAGGUGAAAAGGCCUAGAUUGCCUAGAGGGACGAUAAGACCCUAUAAAGCUUUAUAAGUUUAAGAAUUUAAUAGAUUUUUUGAUAUAGAAAUGAGUUUAGAAUCUUAUUGGGUUGGGGCGACAAAGGUAUAAUUAAAGAUAACUGCCAGAUAAAUACUACAUGGAUUUAUGUGUAAGAAAAAUAAUUAAAUGAUCCCUCUUAAGGAAUAAGAGAUCAAGUUACUUUAGGGAUAACAGCGUAAUUCCUCCUGAGAGUCCUUAUCAAAGGAGAAGUUUGCGACCUCGAUGUUGAAUUAAAAUGUCUUUGUGGUGCAGCAGCCAUAGAAGAAGGUCUGUUCGACCUUUAAUAUUUUACAUGAUUUGAGUUCAGACCGGCGGGAGCC